UACACACCGCCCGUCACACCAUGGGAGUGGGUUCUACCUUAAGCCGUAGCGCUAACCGCAAGGAGGCAUACGACCAUGGUAGGGUUCAUGACUGGGGUG
rnacentral:rRNA from 1 species